rnacentral:rRNA from 1 species
GAGUUUGAUCCUGGCUCAGGAUGAACGCUGGCGGCGUGCUUAACACAUGCAAGUCGAGCGAUGAAGUUUCCUUCGGGAAACGGAUUAGCGGCGGACGGGUGAGUAACACGUGGGUAACCUGCCUCAUAGAGUGGAAUAGCCUUCCGAAAGGAAGAUUAAUACCGCAUAAUGUUGAAAGAUGGCAUCAUCAUUCAACCAAAGGAGCAAUCCGCUAUGAGAUGGACCCGCGGCGCAUUAGCUAGUUGGUGGGGUAACGGCCUACCAAGGCGACGAUGCGUAGCCGACCUGAGAGGGUGAUCGACCACAUUGGGACUGAGACACGGCCCAGACUCCUACGGGAGGCAGCAGUGGGGAAUAUUGCACAAUGGGGGAAACCCUGAUGCAGCAACGCCGCGUGAGUGAUGAAGGUUUUCGGAUCGUAAAGCUCUGUCUUUGGGGAAGAUAAUGACGGUACCCAAGGAGGAAGCCACGGCUAACUACGUGCCAGCAGCCGCGGUAAUACGUAGGUGGCGAGCGUUAUCCGGAUUUACUGGGCGUAAAGGGAGCGUAGGCGGAUGAUUAAGUGGGAUGUGAAAUACCCGGGCUCAACUUGGGUGCUGCAUUCCAAACUGGCUAUCUAGAGUGCAGGAGAGGAGAGUGGAAUUCCUAGUGUAGCGGUGAAAUGCGUAGA